UCUUUGUCCCAUGUACAGUAAGCAGUUGGAAAUAUUGAUAUUUUAAAUUGUUUGAAGAAUAAAUACGGCCCUUUGGUUAUAAACAUUCAUUGUCUGCGAUUGUAUGAUUUGUUGUUCGUGCAUUUGUGAGAUCUGAGCAUAUAAUGAGUAGUAAACAUCUGUCUGUUGAAGAUAUCCAGUAUUAUGAGUUUUUCAAUAAUAACAACAAAAUUAUAAGGAAGGGCGAAAAUGCCCUUUAAUCAAAUCCAAUUAUUAUGUAAAGAAAAUGUUCCAUGUUGCUUUACUAAUCAUUACAGGAGAAGUAUUUGCAAGUAUGAAAGACAAAACAUAAUGUUGAGGUUUCCAUUGGUCACAAUAUCUAUGAAUUAAAUAAUCUGAAAAAUUUAGAUAAAUUUAUAUCAUGUAAUGAUCAGAAUGAAAUCGUAAUUAAACAGGACAUAAAUACUACCACAAAAUUCAAGGAUGCCUGCAUAUUUUAGACAACAAAACUGUUAUUUGUGUAUAUGGAUAUUGAAGAAUGUACCCAACUACAUUGAUAGUAGAAAAAGAUUUGACCUGGGCCAGAAACAUUACUUUAUUAGAAAAUUUUUAUUUGGCUCAAUAUUUGGCAAAAUUAUUACACCAAUGACUAGUGACUAACAAGAUAAAGGAAUUCAAAAAUAUUUUAUUACUUCAUAUUAUAUUAUACUAUAUUAUACUUCAUAUUUUUAACUGUAUAUCAUGUACAGUCAGAAAGAUGAAAGAUUACCUGUGAACGACCAUAUCAAUCACUUAUUUUGUAUUUGCCGUCUUUUUAUAUAAAUAACAAGCGAAAAAGAAAGCAAAUACAAAAUAAGUGAUUGAUAUGAUCGUUCCUGGGUAAUCUUUCAUUUUUCCGACUGUAUCACAUUUUGUUUACGUAAAUAGCAUUAAGUAAAGUCCUAAGUCUAAUUGUCAUAAUAUGUUUGCAUAUUUUUGUUUUAUUACAUGUCAUAUUCUAUUUAUUAUUAAUGUAAAUUUGUAUAGCAAAACUUGAUUAUUUUUUCUAUAUUAUUAAAUGUAAAUCUUGUGUGGGUGUGAGUGUGG
rnacentral:lncRNA from 1 species